GGCCAGUUUCAUUUGACUGUUGACAGACCGUGAAAAAAUUGAUGCAAAUUUUUAAGGUUUAAUUAUUAUUGAAAUUAAAGGAUAUAUUCAAUAUAUUUACUACAUUUCUCCCCGUACGAUAAAACUUCGAAGCUCUCAUCACAGUUGAACUUUUUUCCAUAAUCGGAAAGUUAGGUUAUUAUUGAAUUCUGAGAUAUAAAACACAGUUCUUGGACGUGAAUCUGCACAUAUCAAUUUAUCAGAUACAGAAAUGAAAAAAUCCUAGGAUGGCAAUUAUCAUCCCUCGGAGAGACUGUAUUAGGAAUAA